rnacentral:rRNA from 1 species
GGACUACCCGGGUAUCUAAUCCUGUUUGCUCCCCACGCUUUCGCACCUCAGCGUCAGUAUCGAGCCAGUGAGCCGCCUUCGCCACUGGUGUUCCUCCGAAUAUCUACGAAUUUCACCUCUACACUCGGAAUUCCACUCACCUCUCUCGACCUCAAGACUGGGAGUUUCAAAGGCAGUUCCAAGGUUGAGCCCUGGGAUUUCACCUCUGACUUUCCAAUCCGCCUACGUGCGCUUUACGCCCAGUAAUUCCGAAUAACGCUAGCCCCCUCCGUAUUACCGCGGCUGCUGGCAC